rnacentral:rRNA from 1 species
CUGGCUCAGAGCGAACGCUGGCGGCAGGCCUAACACAUGCAAGUCGAACGGACCCUUCGGGGUUAGUGGCGGACGGGUGAGUAACACGUGGGAACGUGCCUUUAGGUUCGGAAUAGCUCCUGGAAACGGGUGGUAAUGCCGAAUGUGCCCUUCGGGGGAAAGAUUUAUCGCCUUUAGAGCGGCCCGCGUCUGAUUAGCUUGUUGGUGAGGUAAUGGCUCACCAAGGCUACGAUCAGUAGCUGGUCUGAGAGGAUGACCAGCCACAUUGGGACUGAGACACGGCCCAAACUCCUACGGGAGGCAGCAGUGGGGAAUCUUGCGCAAUGGGCGAAAGCCUGACGCAGCCAUGCCGCGUGUAUGAUGAAGGUCUUAGGAUUGUAAAAUACUUUCACCGGUGAAGAUAAUGACUGUAGCCGGAGAAGAAGCCCCGGCUAACUUCGUGCCAGCAGCCGCGGUAAUACGAAGGGGGCUAGCGUUGCUCGGAAUUACUGGGCGUAAAGGGAGCGUAGGCGGACAUUUAAGUCAGAGGUGAAAUCCCGGAGCUUAACUUCGGAACUGC